GUGUGUUGGAUGAGCUGGUGGGCCUACUUUUUCUCAUAGGGAUUUUUUUUGUGUGUGUAUGUGGUGCUAGGAAUCGAACCCAGGGCCUUGUGCAUGCGAGGCAAGCACUCUACCAACUGAGCUGUAUCCCCCGCCUUCCCAUAGGAGUUCGAUAUGCACAUGUAUCCAUGUGCUUCUAAUUAAUUUGAUAAAUUCAUGGGUGGUCAUUUUUAUAAGCAUGAUUCAUUUACUUCUCAGUCUGUGCCUUCUGGUUGUGCCAGGCAGAUGAUGGCUAUUUACUUGUACAAACCAAGUGUAGAGUUACUCCUCAGCACUUAAACUCAAAAUAGAGUAGCUUAUGGCAAACACUGCUUUUCGAAAUGAAGUACCCCAGGGUUCGGCACAGCCUGACCAUCUGCUGGUCUAUAGGUCACAGAGUAACUCGGAGCAGGGCACAGCCUGCUCCCCACACUACGAAGAAUUGUGGCCUCAAAACUGUGCGCUGGAUAAAUCCAGCCUUCAGUGCUAAAUGUACAGAAAAUAUAGGUCAUGGGCGAGCAGGGAAGGCUGUGCCUGAGGACACCAUCAGCCCAUCCAGAGGGGGAGUAUUCUAGAUUCAGUGUCACUAGGAAAGGGAGAGAGAGGCCGAGAUAGAGGUGUGCCACCACCUCACCAACUACAAUGUGUGGCUCUUGCUUGGGUUUUGAUUUGAACAAACGCACUCAAGACACUCACAAAUGAGAUGAUCUUAAGGAAUUGAUACUUUCAUCCGUUCAUCUGUAAUCAGGGUGUGGGCAAUGGUAUGGUGAUUGUUUUCAAACUGCUUUUAUUAGAUUCAUAAUGAUGUAUUUAUAGGAAAAAUGACAUGACGUCUUACAUGUGGCCUCAGAAGCCCCAGGAGAGGCUGGGGAGAUGGAAGGAGGCAGUUGAAGCCAAGUGGGGGAUAUUGGCUCCUUACAGAGUAGUUGUAAAGAUUAAGGGAAGAACACCUGCAAGACACACGGUACAGUGCUCUCUGCCUUUAACACAGACUCCAAAGUCAAUGAACCUUCCUGUGGCCUUGAAAGCACGCCAGCUCGGGUUGGCCCUGCAUGACAUCACCGGGCGCAGCGCCGGGCCUGAAGACAGGCUCCAUUAACGUCUGGAGUAUAAAAGCUCCGACUCACACCCCGAUAUUCACCCGAAUCCACUGUGCCUUGCCCUCUUUCUUCCACUCCUCUCAUUAAAUCCUUUCUUCCUGGA